rnacentral:rRNA from 1 species
CCCUUAGAUGUCCUGGGCCGCACGCGUGCUACACUGACACUUACACCGAGUUUUUCCGGCCCCGAGAGGUGGCUGGUAAUCAGUAAUAGGUGUCGUGAUGGGGAUAGAUCUUUGGAAUUAUUGAUCUUGAACGAGGAAUGCCUAGUAAUCGUAGGUCAUCAGCCUGCGAUGAUUACGUCCCUGCCCUUUGUGCACACCGCCCGUCGCUCCUACCGAUUUCGAGUGGUCCGGUGAACCUUUCGGACAGAGAGAGUCUCGUACAAUCUCUGAAAGUCAAGUAAACCACAUCACUUAGAGGAAGGAGAAGUCGUAACA